rnacentral:rRNA from 1 species
UACGAAGGGGGCUAGCGUUGCUCGGAAUCACUGGGCGUAAAGCGCACGUAGGCGGCUUACUAAGUCAGGGGUGAAAUCCUGGAGCUCAACUCCAGAACUGCCUUUGAUACUGGUGAGCUUGAGUCCGGAAGAGGUGAGUGGAACUGCAAGUGUAGAGGUGAAAUUCGUAGAUAUUCGCAAGAACACCAGUGGCGAAGGCGGCUCACUGGUCCGGUACUGACGCUGAGGUGCGAAAGCGUGGGGAGCAAACAGG